rnacentral:rRNA from 1 species
UACGUAGGGUGCAAGCGUUGUCCGGAAUUAUUGGGCGUAAAGAGCUCGUAGGCGGUUAGUCGCGUCUGCUGUGAAAACUCGGGGCUUAACCCUGGGCCUGCAGUGGGUACGGGCUGACUAGAGUGCGGUAGGGGAGACUGGAAUUCCUGGUGUAGCGGUGGAAUGCGCAGAUAUCAGGAGGAACACCGAUGGCGAAGGCAGGUCACUGGGCCGCAACUGACGCUGAGGAGCGAAAGCAUGGGGAGCGAACAGG